GUUUGGAUCGUCAAGAAGUUUAAGUGUAAACCAAGAUCCAAUGGAAUGUCCAACUAAAUGAAUUCUGGCAUCUUUGGGAACGUACUGCUUCAAAAACUCCGUCUGCAUAACAAGGGGAUGGACAGUGGUGGCCGGAGCGCGAGUGAGCGCGAGACAUUGAGAGAGAGCGCAAACAUAUGUUUUGCUUCACUUGACUGUCGCAGGACGCGGGAUAACGAACAGCGAGGGGCGUAAGCGUCGGUUGGUCAACGCUACGCAUUACCGUUUGUAGAUUCCAGCAAAAUUGAGAAAACGGAGCACAUAAUACAACACGUGGAAUUCUGCAUGACCCUUAGUGACUAACAUGAGGCUGAAAUAAUCCGUUCCUACUCUUCAAUACUUUUCAAUCACCAAAAAAGUCAAUAGAAUUAUAAAUAAAUAAUAAACCGUUAAACGAAUAAAAUUCAUAACGGUUAUAA